GCAUUCAGUUGCCAUCGGGUGAAGCCGGGCACUCUGGAAGGACUGCCAUCGACAGAUGGAGGAAGUGGGGACGACGUCAAGUCAUCAUGGCCCUUAUGUCCAGGGCGACACACGUGCUACAAUGGCCGGCACAACGGGAAGCGAGUUCGCGAGGACGAGCGGAUCCCUUAAAGCCGGUCGCAGUUCGGAUUGAAGUCUGCAACUCGACUUCAUGAAGCUGGAAUCGCUAGUAAUCGCAGAUCAGCCAAGCUGCGGUGAAUACGUUCCCGGGCCUU
rnacentral:rRNA from 1 species